rnacentral:rRNA from 1 species
CGGUGAAGGAGAGCUUGCUCUCUGGAUCAGUGGCGAACGGGUGAGUAACACGUGAGCAACGUGCCCCAGACUCUGGGAUAACAGUUGGAAACAGCUGCUAAUACCGGAUACGAGACGUGAUCGCAUGGUCAACGUUUGGAAAGAUUUUUCGGUCUGGGAUCGGCUCGCGGCCUAUCAGCUAGUUGGUGAGGUAAUGGCUCACCAAGGCGUCGACGGGUAGCCGGCCUGAGAGGGUGACCGGCCGCACUGGGACUGAGACACGGCCCAGACUCCUACGGGAGGCAGCAGUGGGGAAUAUUGCACAAUGGGCGAAAGCCUGAUGCAGCAACGCCGCGUGAGGGAUGACGGCCUUCGGGUUGUAAACCUCUUUUAGCAGGGAAGAAGCGAAAGUGACGGUACCUGCAGAAAAAGCGCCGGCUAACUACGUGCCAGCAGCCGCGGUAAUACGUAGGGCGCAAGCGUUAUCCGGAAUUAUUGGGCGUAAAGAGCUCGUAGGCGGUUUGUCGCGUCUGCUGUGAAAACCCGAGGCUCAACCUCGGGCCUGCAGUGGGUACGGGCAGACUAGAGUGCGGUAGGGGAGAUUGGAACUCCUGGUGUAGCGGUGGAAUGCGCAGAUAUCAGGAAGAACACCGAUGGCGAAGGCAGAUCUCUGGGCCGUAACUGACGCUGAGGAGCGAAAGGGUGGGGAGCAAACAGGCUUAGAUACCCUGGUAGUCCACCCCGUAAACGUUGGGAACUAGUUGUGGGGACCAUUCCACGGUUUCCGUGACGCAGCUAACGCAUUAAGUUCCCCGCCUGGGGAGUAC